rnacentral:rRNA from 1 species
AUUGAACGCUGGCGGCAUGCCUUACACAUGCAAGUCGAACGGUAACAGGUCUUCGGAUGCUGACGAGUGGCGAACGGGUGAGUAAUACAUCGGAACGUGCCUAGGAGUGGGGGAUAACUACUCGAAAGAGUGGCUAAUACCGCAUGAGAUCUACGGGUGAAAGCAGGGGAUCGCAAGACCUUGUGCUACUAGAGCGGCCGAUGGCAGAUUAGGUAGUUGGUGGGAUAAAAGCUUACCAAGCCGACGAUCUGUAGCUGGUCUGAGAGGACGAUCAGCAACACUGGGACUGAGACACGGCCCAGACUCCUACGGGAGGCAGCAGUGGGGAAUUUUGGACAAUGGGCGCAAGCCUGAUCCAGCAAUGCCGCGUGCAGGAUGAAGGCCUUCGGGUUGUAAACUGCUUUUGUACGGAACGAAAAGCCCUGGGUUAAUACCCUGGGGUCAUGACGGUACCGUAAGAAUAAGCACCGGCUAACUACGUGCCAGCCGCCGCGGUAAUAC